UUAUUUAUAUUAUUAUAUUUAUUUUUUGUUUAUUAUUUUUUUAAUAGAAAUAACUUUGUUGUUUUAUGUCUGAGUAUAUUUUAUAGAAAUGAUUAUUUUUGUUAUAGUUGAUUAGUAAUGUAAAUGGAUUAUGAUAUAAUUUAUAAAAUUAUGGAAAGUAAAUUUAGUUUAUUGUACCUUUUGUAUCAGGGUUUAUCAAAAUUUUAGUAUUUAUAUAUUAAUCUCGAUUUAGGUUGAUUUUCAAUUAAUUUAUAUUUAAUGUUUCAUAAUUAUUAUGAAAUUAAUUGAAGAAAUGAAAUGUUAUUCGUUUCCUAAGAUAUCUAGUUUCUUAAGAAAAAAUUUAAUUUUUUAAAGUCCAUGUUUUAUUUAAUUUUAAAAUUAAAAGUAUUGACUUAUUUAUUCUUUUGGGGAUAAGCUCUGGAGGUAUUAAUCUAUAAUUAUUUUAAGUAAAUUAUAAUAGUAAGCUUUAAACCAGCUAUCUAUUGGAUUACGUUUUAGUUCAUUGUUUUUAAAUUUGAUUUUAUAAUUAUUUUAGAUUUUAUAUUAAGAUUAUUAAUUUAAUAUUUUAAUUUUUGUAAUAAUGAUGGAAUUAGUAUAAUUAAUUUGUUUAUAAUUUUUGCUACUGUUAAUUUAUUAUAAGGAACUAGGCAAAAUUGAUUUCCGCCUGUUUAUCAAAAACAUGUCCUCUUGAUAAUAAUUUGAGGUCUGACCUGCUCACUGACAAGUUUUAAAGAGCCGCGGUAUUUUGACCGUGCAAAGGUAGCAUAAUCAUUAGUCUCUUAAUUAGGGGCUGGAAUGAAUGGUUUGACGAGAAAUCAACUGUCUCUUAAUAAUUUUUAAAAUUUAACUUUUAAGUUAAAAGGCUUAAAUUUUUCUUUAGGACGAGAAGACCCUAUAGAUUUUAACAUUUUAUUUAUAUAUAGUUUUUAGAAAGUCUUUCUAUAUUUAAUGAUGAUGUUUUGUUGGGGUGACAUGAAGAAUGGAUAAACUCUUCAUUAUAAAAUCAUUGAUUUAUGUUUAUCAUGAUCCAUAAUUUAUGAUCAUAAGAUUAAGUUACCUUAGGGAUAACAGCGUAAUUGUUUUUGAGAGCCCUUAUCAACAAAGCAGAUUGCGACCUCGAUGUUGGAUUAAGAAAAAUGUUGGGUGCAGCAGCUCAAUAAUUAGGUCUGUUCGACCUUUGAAUUCUUACAUGAUCUGAGUUCAGACCGGCGUGAGCCAGGUCGGUUUCUAUCCUAAGAUAAAUUUUUCAUAUUAGUACGAAAGGACCAUGUGAAUUAAAUAUUUUUUUAUUAUUGAUUCAAAUUAAUCAU
rnacentral:rRNA from 1 species